AAAGUCCCCCUGUGGUGUAAAUCCAGCGUUUAAUGUUGUUUAUGUGUCUAUGUGGUGUUUUUAAUAUGCUUUAAGACACACAUGUGUAAGUUCAUAAGUCGACAGCAUUGCUGAGUAUUUCCUGCUUAAAACUGCAGUGAACCAAAGACAGUCUCAAAAACACGGAGGCGGGGCUCAUUUGCAUAUUCAUAGAACCACGCAUACUAAAUGAGGCAAGGGUGUCGAGUUACAUUCAAGAUA